GACGAACGCUGGCGGCGUGCCUAAUACAUGCAAGUCGAACGCAGUGGGGACGGGUGAGUAACACGUGGGUAACCUCCCAUCAGAGGGGAUAACACUUGGAAACAGGUGCUAAACCGAUACUGAUGGAUGGACCCGCGGUGCAUUAGCUAGUUGGUGAGGUAACGGCUCACCAAGGCCACGAGGCAUAGCCGACCUGGGGGGGGGAUCGGCCACACGGGAACUGAGACACGGCCCAGACGCCUACGGGAGGCAGCAGGAGGGAAUUUUCGGCAAUGGACGAAAGUCUGAACGAGCAACGCCGCGUGAGUGAAGAAGGUUUACGGAUCGUAAAUCGCUGUUGUUAGAGAAGCGGUAUCUAACCAGAAAGCCACGGCUAACUACGUGCCAGCCGCCGCGGUAAUUC
rnacentral:rRNA from 1 species